UUUGCGAAAGAUGUUGAUGAAGCGAGAGAGGAGAUAUUUCGAGUUCUUCCAAUGAUGGACCGCAGUGUAAGGAUCAUCUAUUUUGAUGGUUGGGGUGGAUUUGGGGCGUCGGCAGUUCUGCGAUCCAUAGCGAAAGUGCUUCCGUCUGUGAGAACUGCUCCAGAACUAUGCUUUGACAGAACAAUUUAUAUAGACUGUUCAGAGUGGAAAAGUGGAAGAGCAAUGCAGAGAUUAAUUGCAGAGGAACUGAAACUUGACCACUCAGUGAUGUCCAUCCUAGACAAGCAAGAUGAAGAGGAUGAUUUUAGUGGAGUUGACGAAAUUUCAAGGGAUGUAAUAGAACGUGUUGGGCAAAUGAUUGAUCAAACCCUGAGGGGCAGCAAAUUUAUGAUGAUUUUUCUUAAUGGAAGUGAUGUUGAGUUUGACAUAGGCGCCUUUGGUCCCCCAUUUGCAAGAUUUGGCGACAACAUGAUGAUAUGGACCUUCAAAAGAAGAUUCCUGACCAUGAAUCACUGGUGUUCCGAGAUAGCAGACAAGCUAAGAUACACUCACACUCUUUCUUGUGUCCACCCUAUGAUCACAGAACGACUAACAAGUUCAGAGUUUCAAGCAAUACUACGUGAAGAGGCUGCUGCCAUAGUUGCUCGGAGUCCAUGUAUGCUGGACAUCGACCCAACAAUGGUUGCAGAUUGUUGUCUCUAUCAGUUAUUCCUGCAUUGUAACUUCCACACCUUUCAAUGGGUUGCUCAUGCUUCCAACUGUUGGAUGUGCGAUGGGAUCAUACAAGGGGACAGAGCAAGGGAUAUCAGUAUUGCAUUGCAUGGAAAGUUAAAUUGGGAGCGUGGUGCUCCUUUGGUUAAUGGUGUGCUUAGGAAGUUCAUGAAACAUACGGAGCCUCCUUUUCUGAUACUUCAAGAUGAUGAUGUCUAUGAAGAAGGGCCAUACCGCUGGAUUUCAGUCACAUCGAGGAAUACGAAAUUACAUGGUUUGCAAACUAUACCUGCAGCGGCAUCAUCUUUCUUCUUGGCAUUUGAAAGAUCGGAUUACCCAAUUCCGUUGCCACAUGGCUUGUUUGAGCAUUCCAACAACCUUGGUGUGUUAGUUCUCUGUUGUUGUGCCUUCAGUUUUGCAGCACCUCCUUUCCUGAAAAGCCAUCGCCUAAGAUUCCUUGGACUGGACUGUUGUAUAGAUGACCAAACUGGUGACGGAGAGGAUCAUACAGAGUGGACAAGUUUGUAUAGCCUGUGGGUGCUACACCUUUCUUACACAGACUGGAAUGAAAUAUUAUCUGAAGAAAAGAUGGAUCUCAUGACUAAUAUCAAAGAGCUCAAUAUAGAGGGAACAAGGUGUUGGCAGUACACCGCUGACUUGCAAGGGCGGCUACCUAACCUUCUAAGGCUCCGAAUAAUCAAACCAACAUGUCAAUGGGAGACAUCCAGGGAUGCUGGCAACUCCUUUAUGGAUAAGACAAGGAUAGAGAUACUUGAUUUAUCAGGUAACACUGAGAUGGAAGUUGUGCCAACAAGCCUAUCAAAGGCGAGUGGACUUCGAGUGCUUGUACUUGAUGGUUGUGAUGGGGUGGAAAACAUUGAUGGCCCUGGUGGGCUUCCUUCGUCCAUUGAGUCCUUCAGCUUUGAUGGUUAUGGCCCAGCUUUUGAAUGGACACCAAGCAUUGAACUACCUUUCAAACAUUUCUGUCCACCUACGACAACAGAAACAAAUAAUAGGGAUAUCAAAGUCUCCAAGAUCUCCUUAGCAGGGUGUAAACAGUUGAAAAAUCUGUUUCUGCGUGGGCUACCCAACCUCUUGGAGCUGGACCUCUCUGGAACUGCAAUCAAGAUACUAGACUUCGAAACUAUGGUGGUGCAAGUCCCAGGGCUCAAGCGGCUAUUUCUUAUUGGAUGUGAGCACCUUCGUGCAAUAAAUUUUCCAGGCAAGAGUGACUUUGAGAGAAAUCUGGACCUAGAGCUGCUGUACAUAGACACACGACCUGGAGCUGCGUGUCAUCGCUCAACUAUUGAAGAGAACAAUUCCUCCCAGUUGCAGGUGAAUGCUAUAAUAACUGAUGCAAGGCUAGUCCGG
rnacentral:rRNA from 1 species